rnacentral:rRNA from 1 species
CCGCCAGAGAACUACAAGUGAAAAACUUAAAACUCAAAGGACUUGACGGUGUCCCACACCGACCUAGAGGAGCCCGUCCUAUAAUCGAUACCCCCCGCUCCACCCAACCUUUACUUGCCUUUUCAGCCUAUAUACCGCCGUCGACAGUCUACCCUGUGAAGGCAAAAUAGUAGACACAAUAACUAAGCCGCUAGUACGUCAGGUCAAGGUGUAGCAAAUGUUAAGGAAGAGAUUGGCUACAUUUUUAAACUUUAAAAAUACGAAAUGCAUCAUGAAACCUUGUAUGAAGGUGAAUUUAGUAGUAAAAU